AUUGAACGCUGGCGGAAUGCUUUACGCAUGCAAGUCGAACGGCAGCACGGACUUCGGUCUGGUGGCGAGUGGCGAACGGGUGAGUAACAUAUCGGAACGUAUCCAAUAAUGGGGGAUAACGAGUCGAAAGAUUCGCUAAUACCGCAUACGCCCUACGGGGGAAAGCUGGGGACCUUCGGGCCUGGCGUUAAUGGAGCGGCCGAUAUCUGAUUAGCUAGUUGGUGAGGUAAAGGCUCACCAAGGCGACGAUCAGUAGCUGGUCUGAGAGGACGACCAGCCACACUGGAACUGAGACACGGUCCAGACUCCUACGGGAGGCAGCAGUGGGGAAUUUUGGACAAUGGGCGCAAGCCUGAUUCAGCCAUUCCGCGUGAGUGAAGAAGGCCUUCGGGUUGUAAAGCUCUUUCGCAAGGGAAGAAAACUUAGCCACUAACAUUGGUUGAGGUUGACGGUACCUUGAUAAGAAGCACCGGCUAACUAUGUGCCAGCCGCCGCCGUAA
rnacentral:rRNA from 1 species